rnacentral:lncRNA from 1 species
GUUAUAAACAAGGGAGACUAAAAAUAUAUAAGUAACUGUAAGAUACAACAGGUGGUGUCAGAAUCUAUGAAAAAAAAACAGCAUAGGUAGAGCAAAUAUUUUUUCUUUUCUAUUUUGGCUGCCCCAUGGCAUAUGGAUAUUCCCAGGCCAGGGAUGAGAUCCAAGCUGCAGCUAUGAUCUACAUUGCACCUGCAGCAAUGCCAGAUCCUUUAACCCACCGUGUCUGCAUGGGAUCUAACCUGUGUCCUGGCACUGCAGAGACACUGCCAAUCCUGUUGCACCACAGCAGGAACUCCUGUAGAGUAAAUGUUUUAGUCAAAACUGUGUAACUCUUGGGAAACCUCUGUGUUUGACAUUGUGUUAAUGGUUGGCUUGGGGAGAAACUUGUUCCCCUCAUUCCCCCUUUGGUUACUUUCUUUUUUCUUUGCUGAGCUGCCAUCCUCAUGUUCUCUGUCCUUCUAUUUCUGUAGCUUCCAGCCAUUCACUUCGAUAGCACUCAAAACAGCAUGAUGAAGUCUGAGCCCACCAUCAGGGGGGGUGCGCACAGAGUGCGAGGUCAGUGGCACGAGUCCACAGAAGCCGUUGAACUUGAAAAUUUUAGGUAAGAAAUCCAGUGUGUCCCUUGCUUUCAGUGGCCUACCCCAAUUAGCCCAAGGACUUAAGGACUUAUUUGAAUUUGCUACAGGAGCCAUUUGAAAAUUUACCAUGGGGAUUCUUUUUUUUUUUUUUUUUUUUUUUUUUGCCACACCCACAGCAUAUAGAAGUUAUAGGGCCAGGGAUCCAACCCAUGCCACAACAGUGACCUGAACCACAGCAGUGACAAUGCCAGGUCCUUAACCUGAUGAUCCACUAGGGAACCCUCCAGGAAUUAUUAAUUAAUGAUUUUAGUAAGUGUUUCACCUGUUCCCAGAAUGAGUGUGUAAAUAACAGGCUAAACAGCUUUCAGGACACCUUAUGACACACUUUUGGCGUUUGCUCCAUGAGGAAGUAGCUCAGGUGAGCCAGCUGGGCUAAUUCUGAGCCUUGUCUUUAGCUUUUGGUCUGUCCAUAUUUUGCCAGCAAUGAAGAAACAUAAGAGCAGCCCCUGCUGUGAAAAGAUGCAGUGGCGGAAGACUGUGGUUGUCCAAGAGACAAGGCUUUCAGUUGGAGGGAUAAGUGUCGGCCCAGGUUUCUCUCUCCUGUUGCCACAUCAACCUUUUAGAAUUUGCACAGUCUUGUGGGCCACCGCCCUUCCAGAAGCUGGUUCUCUCAGUUUUACUUUGUGUUAAGCUCAUGUGGCUUUAGGUGCCAUUAAAUAGUGAUGACAUGAAAUAGCAGUAUAAAUAUUCUAGAAUAAUCAUUUGUUUAUUUUGUUUUGUUUCCCUGUCAUUUUAUGGCAGUGAGUUUAAUAAUCCACCAACAUCACAUGAUGCUACAUGAGUUCAUAUUUUUAAAAAAAUUUAUUUACUUACUUUUUUUUGGCUGUGUCCACGGCAUGUGGAAGUUCCAGGACCAGGGAUCAAACCCAUGCCACAGCAAUGACAGCAGUGAAUCCCUAACCGGCUGAGCCACGAAGGAACUCUGAGGUCAUAUUUUUAAAAUACGUGCUUAGUGAAUUCUUUAAAAUUCUUUAAAAAUUCUUACAUGUUCAGUCUGCCUAUGUCCAUGUACUAAAAACUGUGAUGGCCUUCACUUCACUAGGAUAGGGACACACAGUCCAAUGACACCUGAAAGACUAUGAGGGCAGAAAGGUACAAAAAGCAAUAUCAGGCUACAGAAUUCACCUCUGAGGUGCUGUGUUCGUGUAAUCCUUGUAUACUUAGACUAGAUCUUAAACUUUGUCUAAUUAAUUAAUUAAUUAAUUAGGCCAUGCCCAUGGCAUUUGGAAGUUCCCAGGGCCAGGGAUUGAACCCAUGCCAAAGCAGCCACCUGAGCCAUAGCAGGGCCAACCCUGGAUCCUUAACCCACUGCGCCACCAAGGAACCACCAAAGUUAGUCUAUUUUAAUGUGCAUAAAGAUAUUGUAUUGUAUAUUUUAUAGCAAUAUGAUCUUUUUGCGCAUUAUCUCUUAUUCUUUCCCACUUUUAAAGUGGAAUUCUUUGAGGUAUUUUUAACUACUCUGAUGACUGAAAUCUCAGGGGAAAAAAGCUGAAGCUAGACUAUCUCACUUUGUCACAUACACCAUCAGCAGCCACAAAACUCUCGUGGUUGAAAGCAUAUAGACUGUGUUUAAUAACUCCCUGUUAUCUGCAAGGAGCUAUGCAUGGUGUGAAUGGCUCCGGCAGCCCAUGGGCCACGGUGGGUGGUAAAGUGAAGGGGGGAGGGGUUCUUCUCUGCCUGUUGCACGAAUGUCUAGAUAAUGUGUUUAGCCAUCCUUUCUCUCCAUAUGCUCUUUUCUUCCCCCUCACCAAUUGUAGCUGGUAAGUGUUUAUAGAGAAUAAUUAUUUAAUAUGGUAAAAUGAAAUAUAAGCUUGACUGUAACCUUUAUUAUUAACUUUAUAAUUAAGUUUCUGCUUCCUGUUUUAACAAGGCUAACUUGCCUUUAGCAAUAUAUUAGAUUGCAAGAAUCCUUCAGUAUUUACCUGCAUAUAGGUGGUCUUUCUCUGCAUCAGUAGAUUUGAAGCACCCUGAAUAAUUUUUAUUACAAAAUGCUUCUCUGUUUAUUUUUAUCUCAGUAUAAACUACAAGAAUGAGAGAAAUUUCAGCAAACAUCCCCAGCAUAAACUGUUUGAGGAGAUUUUUAUAGCCUUGGUGAAGAAUAGACUCAUAUGCAGAGAAUGGGUUGACCGAGCCCCAUCUCUUCAUUUUCUGAGAGUUUUAAUUUGUCUGAGGCUGCUAAUGAGGGAUCCAUGUUACCAGGUUGGUUGUAAAAAAUACAUUUUUUUUUUUUUUACUUGUUUGAAGAUGAAAUAAAACAAAAAA